AGUACCCUGCCACGGUACA
rnacentral:siRNA from 1 species